rnacentral:lncRNA from 1 species
CUGCAGAAUGUUUAAGCAUGGGAGAAAAUGAUACAAGUUAGAAAUUUAUUUAUUUUAAUUUUAUUUUUGUCUCAUCCCGGUUUCAAGUUCAAGAUGUAGCAAGAAAGAGAUUCUGAUACUUGUAUAUGAACUUUAAAAUACCACUUGUAUUUCAAGGUACUCAUGAAAUAGUUAUUGAGCCAAACAUUAUCUGUAGUUUGGCUCUAUAACUGUUCUACGUUUGUACUUUGAUAUUCUGAUUAGUUAUGUUAAAUAGUCGAUGGUUUACUAUCUUCUUGGUUGAUGUUUGUCUCCACCUGUCUCCAUUGUGUAGAUUCUACAGCUUCUGAUUCAUAAGAAAAAGAAAUUUUAUAAAUAGUUUCUUGUGAUUCCUCUAAAUGCUGCUAACGUUUUAACCCAACUGCAUUAUUUGCAAGGUAGGUGACGAUUUCCCUCUUUCUUAUUGAAGAAUCAAGUUGGUGGAAUUUUUGAAGUUGCAAUAUUGAAACAUUUUUGGUACAAUGGUUGCUUUAGUUAAUUUAUUCGAAAAAUGACCUGUUCAAAACAGUCGGAAAUAUUUAGACUUGUUUGCCCUGUGGAAAUGAGCAUAUUUACAAAUGCGUGAUACAUUUAAAAAUAACAUUAACCAAAUAUUUACACCAUUAUUUUUAACACUAACCGACGUACAAAGCAUGUUCACUUCACUAGUAUUUGAAAAAAAACUCCAAGCUGUCCAAUUUUCGAUGUGUAAUGCCAGGUUUAGUCUACGUGGUAACACAACCUUGUUUGAUAGAAAUUAAAA